rnacentral:tRNA from 1 species
GGAGAGGUGGCUGAGUGGCCGAAAGCAACGGUUUGCUAAACCGUCGUACGGGUAACCGUACCGGGGGUUCGAAUCCCCCCCUCUCCGCCA